rnacentral:rRNA from 1 species
ACUUCCGCACAGGGGUUCGAGUGGGGGCCUGAAAUCGCUGAUUUUGUGGCCGGCUUCCUAGAAAGCUACAGAAAGAGGAUAUUUGAGCUGUUGACUUCUGCGUAUACCACAAUCAGCAUUGCAGAUGUGGCUCACUUCAUGGGGAUGAGCCAGGAGGAUGCUACUAACUAUGCGGUGCAAAAUGGUUGGAGUCUGGAUGUGGCAACCAAGAUGCUUACUGUCAGAAAACAGAAGCCCCAGACUAACCAGAAGCUUGAUGCAAGCAAACUGCAGCGUUUGACCGAAUGUGUUUUCCACCUGGAGCACUGA